UUUUUUUCUUUAGCAGAUGGUAUAAAGAGAAAAAGGAAGAAGUGGCAGAGACGGAGGUUGAUCCUGAACGAGAUCAGCGGAUGCUGCCACCAGAAGUUUCGUGCUUCUUGGGCUACUCACUGUGGGGCUAUAACGUAAUAUGUGAUGGUAUAUUACGUUUGAUGGUGAACUAAUUAUUUGUGUUGAGUAUUUCUAAUACCGUUGAAUUACAGUUCCAGGUCUGAGAUGUACGCCUUAUAAUGGACCGCAAUUCAAGUCAUUCCAAGAGAGUUGGUUAUAUUGAAUUUUUUGAUGCAAUGCCAGUCCCUAUGGCAAUAGCACUCUCUAGCCAGCCUCUUCUUGGUUAGCCAGUAAUGGUUAAACCAUCAGAAGCUGAAAAAAAUCUGGUUCAGUCUACUACAGCCACAGCUGGGGCUGUAGGUGGGCUCAUAGGCCCCUAUUUGAGGGGAGCUAGAAGAGUAUGUUCCUUUCUAUUGAGGUAAGAAACAUCUUCUAUUCCUUUCUUAUGCUUUUUCUUAUACAUGGCUGUGUUGCUGCAACAUUGUGUCCUUGCUGCCCAGGUGAAGAAACCACACUAGUUGUCUUACCCAUGUGCUGCCACUGUCCAUGUGACAUGACCAUAAAGAAAGGAUUGGUUUUCCCUCAGCUGAUGAU